rnacentral:rRNA from 1 species
GACGAACGCUGGCGGCGUGCUUAACACAUGCAAGUCGAACGAUGAAGCCUUAGCUUGCUUUGGUGGAUUAGUGGCGAACGGGUGAGUAACACGUGAGCAACGUGCCCAGGACUCUGGAAUAACCGCGGGAAACCGUGGCUAAUACCGGAUAGGUGCCGAGGCCGCAUGGUCUUCGGUUGGAAAGUUUUUGCGGUUCUGGAUCGUCUCACGGCCUAUCAGCUUGUUGGUGGGGUAAUGGCCUACCAAGGCGACGACGGGUAGCCGGCCUGAGAGGGUGACCGGCCACACUGGGACUGAGACACGGCCCAGACUCCUACGGGAGGCAGCAGUGGGGAAUAUUGCACAAUGGGCGCAAGCCUGAUGCAGCAACGCCGCGUGGGGGAUGACGGCCUUCGGGUUGUAAACCUCUUUUAGUAGGGAAGAAGCGCAAGUGACGGUACCUGCAGAAAAAGCACCGGCUAACUACGUG